rnacentral:rRNA from 1 species
UAGGGAAUCUUCGGCAAUGGGGGGAACCCUGACCGAGCAACGCCGCGUGAGUGAAGAAGGUUUUCGGAUCGUAAAGCUCUGUUGUUAAGGAAGAACGAGUGUGAGAAUGGAAAGUUCAUACUGUGACGGUACUUAACCAGAAAGGGACGGCUAACUACGUGCCAGCAGCCGCGGUAAUACGUAGGUCGCAAGCGUUGUCCGGAUUUAUUGGGCGUAAAGCGAGCGCAGGCGGUCAAUUAAGUCUGAUGUGAAAGCCCCCGGCUCAACCGGGGAGGGUCAUUGGAAACUGGUUGACUUGAGUGCAGAAGAGGAGAGUGGAAUUCCAUGUGUAGCGGUGAAAUGCGUAGAUAUAUGGAGGAACACCAGUGGCGAAGGCGACUCUCUGGUCUGUAACUGACGCUGAGGUUCGAAAGCGUGGGUAGCAAACAGG